GAGUAGCUCAGCGGUAGAGCGGUCGGCUGUUAACCGAUUGGUCGCAGGUUCGAUUCCUGCCUC
rnacentral:tRNA from 1 species